AGGAUCCGAGUUCAAUCCCUGGUACCAAAAAAAAAGACAACUCAUUGUGGAAGUGCCAUUGACCACCCACUGACUAAAAUUUCUUUUUUCUAUUUUUUGUUUUUUUUUUUUUGACUAGAAUUUCUUUUUUUUUGGGUACCGGGGAUCGAACUCGGGUCCUUAGCUUGAGAGGCAGGCAGUGGAACCACUGAGCUAAAUCCUCGGCCCUUUGACUAGAAUUUCUAACGGGCAGUUAUAUAUGCCUUUGAAGGAUAUAAUGCGAAAUGAAAUAUAUAGUUAUAGCAUUGGUUUGGUGGCAAAGUAUUUAAAAAUACAGGCUCAUUUGGACAAAACUAUGGAAAAAGCCUUGGUGGUUAAUAAGUAGAGGACUAUUGGACUAGGUAAUGCAGAAGUCCUUUCUAACUCUGACAUAAUAGAAUCCUUGUCUUAUAUAAUUGUUGUACAAGAAAAGUAUACAAAGCCUGGGCAAGAAUUACAGACAGGACUAGCAAUGUGGGAGAAGUUUGAGGGAAGACAAGAAUAUUUACCUGAUGACCACUAUUUGUGACAGGGCAAACCAUUCUCUCAUUCAAUAUUUAUAGCCCUCCUAUGAAGAAGGUAGUAUAAAGAAACAGGCUCAGAGAGGAUGUUUUAUAAGUGAUAGAGCUAUUUUAUUACACUUCUAGGUCUGCUGUUUUUCAAAACAUGCUCUACCAAAUCUUUUCACUGUAGUGGCCUCCAAGAUAGUUCUAGUGACUCUUGUUGCCUGGUGCUCUUGUCCUUGUACAAUCUCUUCCUACACAGAAUAAGACUGAUUUUUGUAACCAAUAGGAUGCUGUAGAAAUGAUGAUAUGUGACUUCCACAGUAGGCCAUGCAACAUAUUAUGAUUUCCACCUCCCUGUGAGUGAAGUCAGGCACCGUGGCAUGAGGAAAAUAGCCCUUGGAGAGUUCCACAUACACAUCUCUGGCCAAGACCAGCACCAUGUAAGUGUGCUGUCAUGGAAGCAGUGCUGGAGUGAGUUUCCUCCCCUCCCCCACCCCAAGUUGAUACGUUGAAGCCUUAUUUUUUAGUAUGAUUGUAUUUGAUGAUAGGACCUCUAAGGAAGUAAUUGAGGUUACAUGAAGUCAUAAAGAUAGGGUCCUGGCCCAAUAGGAUUAAUGACUUAUAAAAAGAGCAUCAAAGUGUUCCCUCUGUGUUUACACAUGGAAGAAAGGCCAUAUAUGCACAUAGUGAGAAAGCAGCCAUCUGCAAGCGAGGAAGAGAGGCUUCACCAAUCAGCAAAUCUGCUACUACCUUGAUCAUGAACUUAUGGCCUCCAAACUGCGAGAAAACAAAGGUCUGUUGUUUAAGUCACACAGCCUAUAGUAUUUUGUUAUGGCAGCCUGAGAAAACUAAUAAAGAAGCAGAUUCUUCAGUCCCAACCAACCUUCCAGAUGACCAUAGCCCCACCUGGACUGCAAACUCAGGAAUGAGUCAGAGCCAGAACCAACCAGCUAAGCCGGCUCUGAAAUCCUGAGUCACAGAAACUAUGAAAUAGUAAGUGUUGUUGUUUUAAGUUACUGUAUGAGACUUUACCUUUCUCACAAUUAGAGCCCAGCUAUGCUCCGUCCCACAGAUAGAAUCUCAUAAACAACACCUUCUUCUGCUAGUUAUACGCAAUGGUGGAGACAUAUAGUAGAGGGAUCCUCAGCUAUGCUCCAUAUUACACACAGAAAUCUCACAAAUGAUUCUCCAAAAAGGUAUGUGAAACAUCCCUAGCGACAGUGAAUAGAACUCUAGGGAAAAUCUUCAUAGAUCUUGCCACUUGGACACUUUCUUUUCAGGACCCUGUUAUCUACUUUACUAAUAAAUUAUUUUUGUUAAGACUUCCAUUGAAUGGCUGUGGCUUAUGAUCAAAAUAAUUUUUAACAGUGUUAGAAACACAAACCCUGAGGGAUAGAUACAUUCAUUCCCGGGAGAAUGAAGGGAUUAUAGAGGUCAUGUACUUGGGGCUAGUUUAUCAGCUAGCCCUGCAUUCCAAAACAUAAUUCAGAGAAACAUGGAGAGGUGAUCAUCACAGCAUAGACCUGACAGAAUACAAUAUUUUGAGAGGUUUUAGGUUUCAGGCCUCACUUUAAUCCCAGUCCAGGAGAAUCCUAAAAUGUCAGAGCUAGUCUGCCUUAGAAAUCACCCAGAAUAGCCUCCUUAUGUCAUAAAUAAAAGAGAAAUGAAGGCCCAGCAUUUAAGUCACUUGCCCACAUGUUCACAGCAUCCAAGUGACAAUACAGCCUGGGCCUCUAGUCAUUAUAUUUUAAAUGCAGGUUAUUCUAAUACCCUCCAGGACUGGAGGAAAAUGGGAAGACAUAUUCUUCUGAGAUUCUGAAACUGAUUUUGAUUCUGAAGGGCCAUUGUCCUUCCCACAGCCAUUUCUUUAUUAAGUGAAUUAAUUCCUAUGUCUUCCUACCUAUUUCCUACUAGACAAAGUCCCUUGGUCUCCCAGGCUUUUCACACAAGUCACUCAAUCCACCUGAAAAAUAUGCUGCUUGGCUUAAACCCUGACAUCCAGCCAGUGUUCACCAAGGCAAGAAGAUGGUGUAUUGGGAAGAGGGUGGAUUCCAGGGUUAGACUGGGGUUUUCACAUUGGCAACUGGUCCACUUUGGGAUCUUAGGCAAGGCACAUAUUGCUUUUCAGUCUCUAAGACCCCUUCCAGUUACAGUGUGCUGCCUCACCAGUCAGAUUAAGUCAUCUCUUUUAAUUAGUUAACAAGCAACUCUCAGUGUAUCUUGAUAAUAAAUGCUCCAGUCCUGACAAAAUAUUUCUGCUCUGGAGACUAGGAGCAAGCACCAUGGUACAGAAUUCAGGUACAGUGGAAGGUUUGAGUGUUGAUCUCCACUGCCACAAAUCAGAUUUGAGGACUCCAGGGACAGUGCUGCCUUGGCCUGGUGUCUUUCCAGCCCUCACCUAUCUAGGCCUCAUUGCCUCCCUCUCCAAAAAGCACCUCUUAUUGUUUUCUCAUAUGCAUCACAUUUGGUAUAUUGCUUUGGUGUUGGAAUAAAUCACAAAGAAGAUAGACUACCUGAAUAUUUACAGUAGCUAACAUCAGGGUAAGUUCAACUAUUGUCCUGUUUUGCUGGGUUAAACAUGGGCAUUUAGAAUUAAGACAGAUCUAGUUUCAAAGUCUUGCUAGGGAUGUAGCCCAGCAGUGCAGUGCCUCCCAAAAAGCAUGAGGCCCUGGGUUCAAUUCCUGGCAACGUAAAGGAAAAAACAAAAAACUAGUCUGUUUUAUUGCCUCCAAUUGUUGACCUUGGGCAAGUUUCUUCACCCCUGUGAGCCCCAGGUUGUCUUAAUCUACAAAGUAUGGUGCUAGAAUACAUCAUGCAAAAGGUAGUUUUUAGAAUUAAAUAAAAUUGUACAUAAAGGGCUUCAUACUGUGUGGCACAAGGAAAAUGUUCAGUGAAUAUUAGCCAUGACUAUUGCUACUCUGCGGCAAAUUCAUUGAGCCUCCUUUUGUGUGCUAGGCACUGGGGAUGAAAAUACAAAAGAUAGUUGUUCCCUUAAGAAGUUCAUGAAGUAGUUUCUAUCCAGGUUUGGUUCUAAGACAUCUGGAAAAGGUGGGGAAGAUCCAAGAUCUGUCAAAGCAUUAAAGAAAUGAAUAUGCUUAAAUUUGAAUAUGUGUGUGUGAUUUUAAUGAUUAAAAUUGUGUCUGGAAGACCCAGAAAAAAACCCGUAUCUCCUAGGAACUACUAACAUUACUGUUUAUGAGAAGGUGAGUAUCAGCUUGUGGACCUUCUGGAAUGUGCUCAUACCAGAUUACCAGUGAGCACAUGUGAAGAUGGAGCUGUGUGGACUGCCAUGGGGUGAGCCUGCACAUGACAUUAGGUAGGAGGAAGGGACAGAGAGGUGAUGGGUGAGAAGGGUAAACCAUGUCUCCUCAUGUCUCAUGGGUCAUCAUGCCACAGGCAGCCAAUUCGACCCUCCAAGCAGGUGAGGGAAGCCACUCAGUGUGCUUAGAUUUAAAUGAGAACAUGUUGUGUUUUGGAUGGAGCCACCUAAUGCUUAAAACUGGUGUUCUGCAUCAGUAUUAAUUUACAUAGCUUUUCUCUACUGCUUCAAUCUUGAAAUAAUUAUCUCACACUUAAUGGAAUAAGGGACAGGCAACUGACAAUUACCACACAAUAAGGCAAGUGUUAGGACAGUGGUGAGAUGCCCAGGUGUGCUAGGGGGACACAGGAGGGCAGCUUUCAGAGGCUUGCAUGACCCCCGAGUCUGCAAGGACGUGCAGGUAUCUUCCAUAAUUCUCUGUGAACUCGCUCAAUUAAUACUUGUUGCUUUUUUUUUUUCAGUGUCUAGCCCAAAAGAGAAAAAAAAGAGGAAGCGAUUAAUCUUUUUGACCAUGGACCAUGUUUGUUUCUUAACAUCUCUGUUUAUAAACAUCUUUGUUUGUUAAGACCUCCUGCCUGAUGGUGAUGAUUUCGUUUUUGUAACAAGGUCCUAAAUGUUCAGAGAACCACAAAAUAGACCUUGGUGGGCUACACUUUCUUCAGAGGAAUUGACUAUAAAUGGUCAUCGGGGGAGGCAGCCAGAAUACCAAGAGCACGGAGCCUGACAGAGCUUGUGUGUCAGCUUGACAACUUCAAUAGCCCAGAGUCUGCAUGGAAUCCCAAACAGCCCUCGCUUCUUCCUCCCCAACCGCAGGGAGCCUGCCUGCCUCCCAGCCUUGUUUAAACAAGAUGAGAGCAGGCUGUGUUUGGACUCAAAGGCCAGCAACCUUUCCCCAGUGGAAGGACAGACCCAGGGAAGAGAAACAGACUGCCUGCUGCAGAAGAUGGUUCCGAAAAUCAGAAACUCCUUCAUAAGUGACAGAACUGUGAGCCUACCAAGGUCAACAAAGGGAAGUGGCACUGGGGAAAUCUUUCUGGAGAACCACUGUUAUCCCGAAAACAAGAACUAACCUGCCGUGUAAUGGAGAGGCCCAGAGGCAAUCCAGUACAAGGAGGACCAUCGCGGGUGUAUACCAGCAUCAUGGAUCCCCUCUGCAAUUUCUCAUUCAGGUAAUUACAAUCCUGGAAGUCAUCUUUGAAAAUGUGGGUAUGCUUUAAAGCCCUUGGGUUUGUGAGGUGUUCAAAGAGCUUUGGGCUGGGAGCUGGGACUCAGGUCUGGAGUCUCAACUCUGCCAUUAACAAGAUAUAUAAUGUGAGGAAAGUCAUCUACCUUCUCUGGGCCUCAGUUUCUCUCCCUCUUCUCCUCCCUCCCUUCUUUCUUGAGAGGUCUUUUUCAUGGACCAGAAAAAUUGGCUGGGAACUUAUUGGAAAUGAAGAAUCUCAAGUCCAACCCCAUACUUACUAAAUUAGAACUUCUCAUUUUUAUAAGAUCCUCAGGUGAAUCCCAAAACUCCUACAAGUACCGACUUAGAUGACUCAAAGAUUACUGUGGUUUUUACUUUAAAAAUGAAUUUAUAUUUAGUAACUUCCAUGUUAAUAUUGGGUAGCAUGAAUUCUACAUUGAGAAACUGGACAGCGUACAACUGGUAGUUGUAAAAUCCUGUCCAAAUGAAAAUUUCUAAAGAUACACUUUAGUUCUGGAAGGAUAGUCAUGACUAGAUUAAGAUUUGUGUUUUAGUUCAGUAGUCUGAAGUGCCUAUUUGGGAUGGUGAUAGGCAUUUUAGAUGAAUUUAGGAAAAACAAAGUUUACCUGCAAAAUACGUGAACUUCAGAGGGUCCAUAUCCCCCUAGUAGAGCUAAAUGGGUUCUGUUACUAUUUUAUCAGAAAGUUUCCAAUUCCACUGUCUUGUGUUUUCAUGUUGAAAAUACUUUUGCAUUUUCCUUUGAGUGCCAAUUUCUUACUAGUACUAUUUCUUAAUGUAACAUGUUUACCUGGAAUGUAUUUUAACUAUUUUUGUAUAGUGUAAACUGAAACAUGCACACUUUGUACACUGUGCUUUUUUUGUGGGACAUAUGCAUUGUGAUCCAGUUGUUUUUCCAUCAUUUGGUUGCGCUGACCUAGAAAUGUUGGUCAUGUCGAACAUUAAAUUUUAAAUUGACCACUCUUUUAAUUAAAAUUAACUUUGAAAAGUUUAUAGGAUCAUGUGCUGUGAAGUGAUAUGAAAUAUGUAAUAUUUUUGUCAUGAACUGCACCACUUCUAUCGUAAUGUAAUAAAAAAUAGUUAUAGUGA